AAGGGAGGGGGACUGACAGGACAGGUCAGAGGGGACCAUGGCUGACAGAAAGGGCCUGGUGGUGGCAGAGUGAUUAAUGAUCCUGGGCUUGGAGAACUGACGAUGGCCAGAGGAGGGGAAGAUAGUGUUGAUCCGUGCUGGAGGUUGUACUGGGAAUUUAUAAGCUCUGGUGUGAAGAGGAAGCUGUCUGAAUACUUAAGAAGAUGCUUGGUGUAGGCCUUGUUGGUUGGAAUUAGGGUGGGUACCUUGACUUAGGUCACAUCAUUCAUUGCUUCAUCAAUAAGGUGCACAGGAAUAAGACUAGCAAACCCAAGUGAAGAAAUUCAUUAAUGUCAGGCCAUUCUGUGGUUGUCUUAUCUAGGCCAGACACACCCUGGUGGAGGAACGGGGAGGGCUUGCCCUUGAAGCUAAUGGAUACUCUCAUUGUCCAUCAUCCUGGCAAGAAUUUGAUUUGAUGCUGGCUAUAAGGAUAUAAAGAGGAGAGACAGAGAGUGGAAAGAAAAAAAAGUGUUCGUUUUCCCCAGAGCAGAGUAUGUCUUUAUCUGGUGUCCCAAGAGAGGGGUGGGAUAUUCCCAGUGAGUGCAUUUUGGGGCAGAAGGAAGGCUGCCCUUUGCCAAAUGUAGGCAGCCCAGGAGCCAAACAAGGAAACAGAUCCUAGGGAAGAACCUGAUAUUGGGCAAGAGUUUUGGUAAUUUUCAGUUUUUAUAUUUCCUUCCAUUAAUCUCCGACUUACAGAAAAGUCUCUUUAAGAUUUACUGCCUGGUCUCAGUGAUGCUGUAGAGGCUGAGGGAAGAGUCUGGUACCCAUUUGGGACCAAAGAGCAGAGCAGUGGGCAGUGUCCCCUCCCUUGAGACCAGAGAAGUCGAAUUAGUGGUAGUAGCAGGGCAAUCAUAUCCAGUCGAAACACGGUGAAGGUCAGUGAAGGAGGCAGUGGCUCAGGGAUAAGACAAGAGUAAUCAUCUCCUGGAUUUCUUUCUGGACACAUGCAAGGCAGCACUCUGGGAAACUCUCAGAAACAGUUUGGGGGUCUCUGAGGACUGGGGCUUCAGCUCAGCCACUGGCAUUUGAGGGGUUUUAUCUUAGACAUCAAACAUGUCCUGCAAGACCCAGCAUUGUGUUGGGCUCUAAGGAUACAGGGAUGAAUUCAAUAUGAUCUUCCCACUUAUGUGACUUUACCCUGUCCCUCCAGGUGCCUGGAACCACAGGACCCUCUAUAAGAAAAGGCACCCUGAGUCCUGGCUAAACAGGACCACUCGUUUUCCUGUACAUUGCCCAUAUUGCCAGGCCAAUGGCUCAGGUUUAGGGAACACAGGGUUUUAAGAUCUCAAAGAGAGGUUUGAGAUUAUCUGGCCCAAGUCUCCAUUUUGGCAGAUGUUGAGACGUUUAUAUAAUACAAUCUGUUGGGGAAAAGGGCAUCUAGACCUGUCCUUUUUGCAAGUUGAUAUCAGAGCAUCACCCUCACUCAGAAACAGAGAAAAGGAGGUGAGUCCUGCAGCCAUCGUAAGUUGGGGAGCGUUUGUGUUUCAGUGUGACCAUCACGGGGUCUAUGCUGAAGCCCUAACCCCCAAUUCCAGAGAAUGUGACUUCAUUUGGAAAUAAGGUCUUUGUGGAUGAUUAAGUUAAGAAGAGGUCAUUAGGGUGCACCAUAAUCCAAUAUGACUAGUGUCCUUAUAAAAAGGGGAAAUUUCGAAACAAAGGGAUAGACACAGGGGGCAUGUCAUGUGAAGAUGAAGGCAGAGAUCACAUGAUGCAGUGGAAGGCAGGAAGUGCUAAUGAUUUGCAGCAAACCACCAGAAGCUUGACAAGAGGCAUGGAGCAGAUGCUUCCUCACAGCCCUCAGAAGGAACCAACCCGCCAACCCCUUGAUCUCAGAUUUCUGGCCUCCAGAACCGCGAGACAGCAGAUUUCCAUGGCUUGAGCCGCCCGGUUUGUAGUACUUCAUUAUGGCAGCUCCAGCAAACAAAUACAGAUUUAUGACCUCGUCUACCCGACGAGGAUGCCUGGCCCAAGCUGGCAUACUAAGAGUUUUCCUGGAACUUGGGAACUGGGACAAAGAGGGACUAAGCCAGCAAGACCGAAAAGCAUGGUAGUCCCAGGACAGCCAUGAAAACCAUAUGUGAAUUAAUGAGUGAGCAGAUUGGAGCAGCAAAUAAUUAUUGGAGCUUCCUUCAUGCAAAGCAUUGUUUUGGACCCUAAGGACGUCAUGUACAAAAUGCACUUAAAUCCUUGCCCUCCUGGAGCUGAUGAUAAAGAAGAUGGACAAGUAAAACAUAUGGGAUGUGAAAUGGUGAUAAGAGUGAUGGAGAAAAUAAAACAGGAGAGGAGGUUGGAAUUGCCAGGCUUCAGAUUCAGCUUCUGUUUCCUGAGUGCCUCCACUAUACCAGCCAUUGGGCCAGGCAUCCAGAAGCCCUAAGGUAGACCUCAUCAUCCCUGUUCUACAGGAGAGGAAAACCAAGACUUGGCUACUACAGUAUACAAAGGGUGUGGAAAAGUCCUCCUAGAACCCUUACCCUGCUUCCAGGAGGAGCUGGACAGUCCUUUCCAAGUCCAGGCAGAAAGGAGUCUUCUCUUUUUCCAUUCUCUUUGUUACUUUAUAUGCCUGUGCAGGCUUGGUUGAGGAAGAAGGGGGGCCAGAAGGAAGUCUGGCCAGAUGGCAGGGUAAUAAAUGACUCUGAUUU